rnacentral:lncRNA from 1 species
GCUUCUUUAAUUCUUUCAAGUUAAUCGGCAGCAUAAUUGCCAACCUAGCCAUUGUAAAUACCGACAUGUGAUCGAGUUCAAGAAUCAUUUGUGCAAUUAGAGGUAAAGACAUUGGAGGGAUUCUUAUUUUCCAGUCAAAUUCUAUUUUUCUCUUAAUUAGCAUCAUAAAAUUGAACCCGAAGUUUAAGUUCCAAAACUAAUACCAUAACACCCACUACAAGAAAACAUGGAUUAAGUGACUGAAUUUUUUGUGGCGCGUGAAAAUUCCUCACAUAUAGGUAAAACAAGUGACGCUUUUCUAAAAAUCGUCACUUUAAGAUUUUUGCAGGACACCAAAAUAUUUUGCGUCACUUAUACUUUUGGAUUCGCCACAAAAAAGUGGGCGGGAAAGUUUACUGCCAAACGAAACUUUAAUAAGUGACGCAAUGUUAAAUUCAUCACAUAUGAAGAGGGAAGGCCACCUGGCCAUUCCUCACAUAUAAUAUUGAAUUAAAAAUAAAAAAUAUAGAUGCAAUUAUCAAAACCCCCAAAUAACAAAACUUAUCCAUUUAUUCUCAUUUCUUCCCAGUCUUCAGCACCCUUUCGUCUACUCCUUCACCCUAACUUCGACGACCGGCUACUUGGUGGUUGCUAGCGACGGCGACUACCACCUCUCCUUCGUCUCCCUCCCUCAGCCAUUCUCCCACCCUUUGAUUCUCGUUCACUAACUCUCUUAUCUCUUUGACAUAACAAGAUCAAAUUGGGGAAAGAGAAGUUCUAUUUUUUCUCAAGUUCUUUCAGUUGACAACAAGGUACUUUGUUUCUCUAUAUUUCUUUAAUUGUUUUUGGAUUUUUUUCUUUAAUUGUUCCCCAGAUUCUGAUUUUCUUUCGCUAAAGAUCCUAUUGUUGGUGAAUUGUUCUCUGCUUCAUACUAGCAGUGAGUUUUCUGUUCCAGUCUUGAUUCUUCUUUACUUUUUGGAGUCAAAAUUUUGGUCUUGGUGGUUAAUAUAUGUUUUUAUAUUUUUUCUUAGUCCCCUGACUAAGUGUUAUCUUUUUGUUUUUUGUUUUUGUUCAAAUGUUGGAAGUCGGUAACCAUUAAGUUGCGUGUUGUCUUUCUUGAGAGAGGUGUUGUCAAGAGUCAAGACUAUGUUCGCCUUGAAUUUUUUUGGGUAGGGCCUACAAUGAUCUUAGUGCCAUUUCUUACUAGCUACUUGUGCUGGGAAUUCUUUAGAUGUGUACUUUCUUGUGUUUUGGCUGGCUGAAAAGGGGUGAUGGUGGAGAUCUGGUAGCAUAUAAAUAUAAGAAAUGAUUAAAACUACUUACAUCCCUCCAGUAGAACUCUGAAAACCACUCGUAGAAUUCUCUGGAAAUUUUAAGUUUGUUUGAAUGUAUUUUUCAUAGAUUGAUUGAAUGUACAAGAGGGGAUAUAUAAUGAGGUAGAAGGUUACAAGCAACCCUACCUUGGCAAAUCCUACUAACUCGGUAAACCCUAAAGUUGUCACUCCUUAAAUUAAGGGAGUGCAACAAGUAGCUAGCAUACAACUAUCAACAAGUCAUCUAGAUGUCAAUCUUCCUCAAAUUAAGGAAUUAGACUUAAUAGAGAAUACCAUGGAAAGAGGAAACAUAAAAUCUGGUAGCAUCAGUCACCUCAUAUCGUCUAAUAUCCAUAUGCAGCAUUAGUCAUAUGCAACAUCAGUCACCCCAUAUGUAUGCAACAGCAGUUAUGCAGCAUUAGUCACCCCAUAUGUAUGUAGCAUCAGUUAUGCAGCAUCAGUCAUAUGCAGCAUCAGUCACCCCAUAUGUAUGCAACAUCAAUUUUUCAUUGUGAUUCGGGGAAAAAAGAGCGUUUAUAUGACAUGAAGAGGAAAGGUGGGAAAAAGGUGAAUAUGAUAGUUUAAGAUGAUGGAUUAAGAGCCACAGAGUGGACUCCAUCUAGCAUCUUACGAUUACGCUCUUAUUUAACUAUACUCUAAUGCACAUUUAUCUUUGUACAUUUAUGAAAUUUUUAUACUUUCAUGAUUUUCAGGAUUGAAGGUGCUCAAGGUCAAGAUUACUUAAGUACAAGACUAAAGCUCCAAGUUGGUAUGUUGUCUUUAAUGCUUGCAAUUUACAAUGACAUAUUAUUAAUGCUACCGCUAGCCAAAUAAUCAUUGCAUUUAAAUAGUAAUGAUGAAUACGAAGUAUUGUGCAUGUAUAUGCUGAAAGCACGGUGGUUUUUCUGUUAGAUUAUUGCAACUUUAGUAUCUAGCAUGGUGAUUUUUUUAUGAUUUCUCUAUUUUCUAGUACGUUUGUUUUAGCAUCUAGUUGUUGUUGAGUUGGGAUAUGUGAAUUUUUCAAUUGAGCUUCUUGAAGUUUUUGGUUGUUAUAUUAUACGUCUAUUUUAACAACUUUACAUAUAUAUUCAUAUAUAUAUUUUCUAUUAUGGCAACCUAUUGAAAUAUGUCAGAGUAUGCAGCUCAAUACUAGGAUUGAAGUGAUCUGAUUUCAUGGAUUGACAAUGGAUUCGUAGUCGGGAUCGCCUUCGUUCCGAAUAUAGAAAAGGGAUCAAGUCAUUUAUUGACAUUGCUUGCCACCAUGUGAACGAGAAUAAUCAAAUACCAUGUCCUUGUAGAGUUUGCCAUAACACAUUUUUUCACUUAGUUGAAGAUGUUCAUCUCCAUUUGUUGAAUUCUGGUAUGGAUAUGAAUUAUGAUAGAUGGAUCAUGGGGAGCAUAUCCAACAAGUGCAGGGAGAAUCUUCGGUAUCUACGAACAAUGAGCCAACCAGUAACUCUAAUGUCAACAUGUUUAAUAUGAUUGAGGAUGUCUUUGAAGGAAUAGAUGAUGAUGAUGAUGAUGAUGAUGAUGAUGAAGAUACAAUGGGGAACCAAGAUACCAUGUGGGGUGGUGAUAUGACCAAUGCGUGGACAGAUGUUGAUACUUAUGAGAUGUUACUUGGUGAAGCUCAAAAGGAACUAUACCCUGGAUGUAAGUAAUAUAUAGUUUUGACAUACGUCGUAGAGUUGAUUCAUACUAAAGUUGACAACCAUAUGACAAAUAAGGCAAUUGAUAAGAUGUUAGCAAUGAUGAAGAAGAUGUGUCCCCAGCCUAACAAUGUCCCUAACUCAUUUCAUGAGUGCAAGAAGAUAUUGACAAGUCUUGGAUUGGGGUGUGAAAAUAUACAUGCUUGCUACUAUGAUUGUGCACUAUUUUAUAAAGAACACAAAAAGAAAGAGAGAUGUCCAGUUUGUAAUGAGCCAAGGUAUAAGGAUAGUCAUUAUGAGCAGAGGAAGAAAGUUCCAAGAAAAAUGUUGCGAUACUUUCCACUUAAGCCAAAGCUAUAGAGGUUGUUCAUAUCGAGACAUACGAGCAAAGACAUGAGGUGGCACAAGGAGAAAAGAAUCAAUGAUGGGAACACAAUGAGGCAUCCAGCAGACUCGAAUGCUUGGAAAGAAUUUGACCAAAUGUACCCUAAUUUUGCUCGAGACCCACGAAAUGUCCAAUUGGGCCUUGUGAGUGAUGGGUUUACUCCUUAUUUAGAUAUAAGUAAGCCGUAUAAUAUGUGGCUAGUUGUUGUAUUUCCAUAUAAUUUGCCCCCAUGGAAAUGCAUGAAUAAACCUUUUUCUAUUCUGACCUUAUUAAUUCCUGGACCAAAAGCACCUGGAAAUGAGAUUGAUGUUUAUUUGCAUCCAUUGGUUGAUGAGCUUAAGGAACUGUGGGAAAAUGGUGUUCCAACCCAUGAUAAGAUGACUAGGAGUAUAUUUAAUUUGCGUGCAGCUGUUAUGUGGACCAUUAAUGACUUCCCGGCUUAUGAAAAUUUAUCAGGUUGGAGCACUCAUGGCAAGUUGGCAUGUCCAGUGUGCAAUGAGGAUGGAUCUUACACUAAGUUGAGAGACAAGUAUUGUCACAUUGGGCACCGUCGUUACUUACCUAUGAAUCACUCAUGGCUAAAAAAUUUUCAACUCUUUAAUGGUCGCCGAGAGAUGAGACAUUAGGGCUGGGUUCGGUUCAAAUCGAUUCGAUUUUUUGCCAAAACUGAAACCAAACCGAAAUUUCGAUUUGGCCUAUUUUUUUUUUUUGGUUUUAGUUGGUUCGGUUUUUUUUUUUUUUUUUUUUUUUUUUCAAAAAAAAUGAAAAAAAGAUUGAAAUAUGAAAUUUUAACAUCUCCAACACAAUCACACUCAAGUCUUCGACACUUAAAAUAAACAUAACGUCCAAACUUUAAAGUCCUCAAGCACACACCUUCUUUUCAAGCUCAAGCUAAUUUAAUUAAGAUACAAAACAUAUAAUAAGAUUCAAUUAGAGAACGACCCUAAAUCACGAUUCAUAAAGCUUUCCCAUACACCAAUUACAUAACAUAUAGCUGUAAAGAACAGAACAUAACAUCCAAUGGGUCAGUGAAUGGAUAACAUGUCAGAACGUGAGAACUUAGAUUGUCUACAGAACAACUGAUCUUUGCUGCAGCUUGGGUUAUCUAUUUAUACAAAAGCUAGCCUUUAUUUUAGUAUGAAACAAAAUUAUAAUAAGGAAGAAGAAACUAUAUAUUUUCUAUUGUAAAUUCAUAUCUUAUUAAUGCAGAUAAGGGUAUGGUUUUUGUCAACUAACUCCAAUGGAGAUAAGGGUUUACUAAGCUUUCCGAAACUCGGUCGGUAUGGUUCUGUGCAAACAUCACCAUUUUUGGUACCUUCCAUCCUUUCCAAAACCAGCAUAUACAAAAUCACUAUUCUAUAAAACACUCUCAGAAAUGACUAGUUACAAUUAAUCAUUUGAAAUACAUGUAUUUAAUAAUUUCAUUCCAAUACACACAAUUUUUGAAAUCGAGUUGUGAAUUGACAGGGACACCAUAAUCUGCAGGGCCUGCAUCAUAAUUUGUGAAUUUUUGUCUAUCGAUUUUAUCACCAUUGCUUUGAUAAUUCGGCUUCCAUUAAACAACAGUGUUGUAACAUAUCAGUGAAAAAGAAAUUUAUUGAAUUGGCUAUCAAACUGAUGGCUGAAGAAGAAGAUAGUUCAUAUUUGUAUGGGAACACAAAGUAUCGAAGUCGAACCCAGUUUUCACCACAAGGGUAUGUAUGUUCAGACUUUAGAUGCACAGCCAAUGGUUACAAACCCUUAAAUUAAAACCUCAUAUUUUUUCUAAUUGGCAACCCCUUCCUCACCCAUCAGAUUCUUCCAAUUGACAACAAUAGUAAGCAUUCUAAUUGACAAUAAUAAUGAGCAUUACUAUCAAAGGAAAUCUGUAGAACAUGAGAGACUGACUGACUAACCUUGCAAAGGCAGUCAUGGGUCGAGAGACUCGAGAUUGGAAACGACGAGAGAACUCAGAGCCAGAAGAGGUCGCGGGUCACGCCUUCACGGGUCACGAGGGUGAGAGAUUGAGAGUGAGACAGCGACACUGACUGAGAGUGAGACGGGUAGCACGGUCGCAAGUCGCAGGUCGUAGGUCGUAAGGAAGAAGACAAAGAUAGGUAGCAGGUGCGAGGAGCAGCGUAACGGCGGAGGCUGCGAAUGGGAACUGGGAACUUGGGAUUUGGGAAGGCUAUGGGAAGGGAAGGGUUUCUGACUAGAGUACAGAGGGAAGGGAAGACCCAAAGGUGGCCAAGGGUAAAGGGGUAGGGUUUCAGACUGAAAGAAUGACAUCGUUUAAUAAUAAAGAUAUUAAUUUAUAAUUAAUUAUAAAAACUUCGGUUCGGUUCGAUUUCUGAACCCUAAAAACCAAACCAAACCAAAACAAUUUCAGUUUGGUUCGGUUUUUUAGUUUCGGUUCGUUUUUUUUUCGGUUCCAUUUUUUUCGGCUUUGGUUCGGUUUAGUUUUGGGUUUUUUGAACCCACCCCUAUGAGACAUCGUCCUAGAGAAUUCUCAAGUGAUGACAUACUUGAUCAACUUGAUUCCCUUUUACCUCGUACACUU